rnacentral:rRNA from 1 species
UACAGAGACUGCAAGCGUUAUUCGGAUUCACUGGGCGUAAAGGGUGCGCAGGUGGCCAAGUGUGUUAGGCGUGAAAGCCCGGGGCUUAACCCCGGAAUUGCACCUAAAAACUACAUGGCUAGAGCAUUGGAGAGGGGAGCAGAAUUCACGGUGUAGCAGUGAAAUGCGUAGAUAUCGUGAGGAAUACCAGAGGCGAAGGCGGCUCCUGGACAAUUGCUGACACUCAGGCACGAAAGCGUGGGGAGCAAAAGGG